rnacentral:rRNA from 1 species
AGUCGAACGGCAGCACGGGAGCAAUCCUGGUGGCGAGUGGCGAACGGGUGAGUAAUACAUCGGAACGUGUCCUGUAGUGGGGGAUAGCCCGGCGAAAGCCGGAUUAAUACCGCAUACGAUCUGCGGAUGAAAGCGGGGGCUCCUUCGGGACCUCGCGCUGCAGGGGCGGCCGAUGGCAGAUUAGCUAGUUGGUGGGGUAAAGGCCUACCAAGGCGACGAUCUGUAGCUGGUCUGAGAGGACGACCAGCCACACUGGGACUGAGACACGGCCCAGACUCCUACGGGAGGCAGCAGUGGGGAAUUUUGGACAAUGGGCGCAAGCCUGAUCCAGCAAUGCCGCGUGUGUGAAGAAGGCCUUCGGGUUGUAAAGCACUUUUGUCCGGAAAGAAAACGUCCUGGUUAAUACCCGGGGCGGAUGACGGUACCGGAAGAAUAAGCACCGGCUAACUACGUGCCAGCAGCCGCGGUAAUACGUAGGGUGCAAGCGUUAAUCGGAAUUACUGGGCGUAAAGCGUGCGCAGGCGGUUCGCUAAGACAGAUGUGAAAUCCCCGGGCUUAACCUGGGAACUGCAUUUGUGACUGGCGGGCUAGAGUAUGGCAGAGGGGGGUAGAAUUCCACGUGUAGCAGUGAAAUGCGUAGAGAUGUGGAGGAAUACCGAUGGCGAAGGCAGCCCCCUGGGCCAAUACUGACGCUCAUGCACGAAAGCGUGGGGAGCAAACAGGAUUAGAUACCCUGGUAGUCCACGCCCUAAACGAUGUCAACUAGUUGUCGGGUCUUCAUUGACUUGGUAACGUAGCUAACGCGUGAAGUUGACCGCCUGGGGAGUACGGUCGCAAGAUUAAAACUCAAAGGAAUUGACGGGGACCCGCACAAGCGGUGGAUGAUGUGGAUUAAUUCGAUGCAACGCGAAAAACCUUACCUACCCUUGACAUGUAUGGAAUCCUGCCGAGAGGUGGAUGUGCCCGAAAGGGAGCCAUAACACAGGUGCUGCAUGGCUGUCGUCAGCUC